rnacentral:rRNA from 1 species
GGUUAAGCGACUAAGCGUACACGGUGGAUGCCCUGGCAGUCAGAGGCGAUGAAGGACGUGCUAAUCUGCGAAAAGCGUCGGUAAGGUGAUAUGAACCGUUAUAACCGGCGAUGUCCGAAUGGGGAAACCCAGUGCAAUUCGUUGCACUAUCGUUAACUGAAUACAUAGGUUAACGAGGCGAACCGGGGAACUGAAACAUCUAAGUACCCCGAGGAAAAGAAAUCAACCGAGAUUCCCCAGUAGCGGCGAGCGAACGGGGAGCAGCCCAGAGUCUGAAUCAGCUUGUGUGUUAGUGGAACGGUCUGGAAAGUCCGACGGUACAGGGUGAUAGUCCCGUACACCAAAAUGCACAGGCUGUGAACUCGAAGAGUAGGGCGGGACACGUGGUAUCCUGUCUGAAUAUGGGGACCAUCCUCCAAGGCUAAAUACUCCUGACUGACCGAUAGUGAACCAGUACCGUGAGGGAAAGGCGAAAAGAACCCCGGCGAGGGAGUGAAAAAGAACCUGAAACCGUGUACGUACAAGCAGUGGGAGCACCUUCGGGUGUGACUGCGUACCUUUGUAUAAUGGGUCAGCGACUUAUAUUCUGUAGCAAGGUUAACCGUAUAGGGAGCCGCAGGGAAACCGAGUCUUAACUGGGCGUUAAGUUGCAGGGUAUAGACCCGAAACCCGGUGAUCUAGCCAUGGGCAGGUUGAAGGUUGGGUAACACUAACUGGAGGACCGAACCGACUAAUGUUGAAAAAUUAGCGGAUGACUUGUGGCUGGGGUGAAAGGCCAAUCAAACCGGGAGAUAGCUGGUUCUCCCGAAAGCUAUUUAGGUAGCGCCUCGUGAAUUCAUCUUCGGGGUAGAGCACUGUUUCGGCUAGGGGUCAUCCCGACUUACCAACCCGAUGCAAACUACGAAUACCGAAGAAUGUUAUCACGGGAGACACACGGCGGGUGCUAACGUCCGUCGUGAAGAGGGAAACAACCCAGACCGCCAGCUAAGGUCCCAAAGUCAUGGUUAAGUGGGAAACGAUGUGGGAAGGCACAGACAGCCAGGAUGUUGGCUUAGAAGCAGCCAUCAUUUAAAGAAAGCGUAAUAGCUCACUGGUCGAGUCGGCCUGCGCGGAAGAUGUAACGGGGCUAAACCAUGCACCGAAGCUGCGGCAGCGACACUAUGUGUUGUUGGGUAGGGAGCGUUCUGUAAGCCUGCGAAGGUGUGCUGUGAGGCAUGCUGGAGGUAUCAGAAGUGCGAAUGCUGACAUAAGUAACGAUAAAGCGGGUGAAAAGCCCGCUCGCCGGAAGACCAAGGGUUCCUGUCCAACGUUAAUCGGGGCAGGGUGAGUCGACCCCUAAGGCGAGGCCGAAAGGCGUAGUCGAUGGGAAACAGGUUAAUAUUCCUGUACUUGGUGUUACUGCGAAGGGGGACGGAGAAGGCUAUGUUAGCCGGGCGACGGUUGUCCCGGUUUAAGCAUGUAGGCUGGUUAUCCAGGCAAAUCCGGAUAAUCAAGGCUGAGGUGUGAUGACGAGGCACUACGGUGCUGAAGUAACAAAUGCCCUGCUUCCAGGAAAGCCUCUAAGCAUCAGGUAACAUCAAAUCGUACCCCAAACCGACACAGGUGGUCAGGUAGAGAAUACCAAGGCGCUUGAGAGAACUCGGGUGAAGGAACUAGGCAAAAUGGUGCCGUAACUUCGGGAGAAGGCACGCUGGUGUGUAGGUGAAGUCCCUGCGGAUGGAGCUGAGACCAGUCGAAGAUACCAGCUGGCUGCAACUGUUUAUUAAAAACACAGCACUGUGCAAACACGAAAGUGGACGUAUACGGUGUGACGCCUGCCCGGUGCCGGAAGGUUAAUUGAUGGGGUUAUCCGUAAGGAGAAGCUCUUGAUCGAAGCCCCGGUAAACGGCGGCCGUAACUAUAACGGUCCUAAGGUAGCGAAAUUCCUUGUCGGGUAAGUUCCGACCUGCACGAAUGGCGUAAUGAUGGCCAGGCUGUCUCCACCCGAGACUCAGUGAAAUUGAACUCGCUGUGAAGAUGCAGUGUACCCGCGGCAAGACGGAAAGACCCCGUGAACCUUUACUAUAGCUUGACACUGAACAUUGAGCCUUGAUGUGUAGGAUAGGUGGGAGGCUUUGAAGCGUGGACGCCAGUCUGCGUGGAGCCAACCUUGAAAUACCACCCUUUAAUGUUUGAUGUUCUAACGUUGGCCCCUUACCGGGGUUGCGGACAGUGUCUGGUGGGUAGUUUGACUGGGGCGGUCUCCUCCCAAAGCGUAACGGAGGAGCACGAAGGUUAGCUAAUCCUGGUCGGACAUCAGGAGGUUAGUGCAAUGGCAUAAGCUAGCUUGACUGCGAGCGUGACGGCGCGAGCAGGUGCGAAAGCAGGUCAUAGUGAUCCGGUGGUUCUGAAUGGAAGGGCCAUCGCUCAACGGAUAAAAGGUACUCCGGGGAUAACAGGCUGAUACCGCCCAAGAGUUCAUAUCGACGGCGGUGUUUGGCACCUCGAUGUCGGCUCAUCACAUCCUGGGGCUGAAGUAGGUCCCAAGGGUAUGGCUGUUCGCCAUUUAAAGUGGUACGCGAGCUGGGUUUAGAACGUCGUGAGACAGUUCGGUCCCUAUCUGCCGUGGGCGCUGGAGAAUUGAGGGGGCUGCUCCUAGUACGAGAGGACCGGAGUGGACGCAUCACUGGUGUUCGGGUUGUCAUGCCAAUGGCACUGCCCGGUAGCUAAAUGCGGAAGAGAUAAGUGCUGAAAGCAUCUAAGCACGAAACUUGCCCCGAGAUGAGUUCUCCUGAGACUUUAAGUCUCCUGAAGGAACGUUGAAGACGACGACGUUGAUAGGCCGGGUGUGUAAGCGCAGCGAUGCGUUGAGCUAACCGGUACUAAUGAACCGUGAGGCUUAACCUU